rnacentral:rRNA from 1 species
CAUAAUCAUUAGUUCUUUAAUUGGGAACUUGUAUGAAUGGUUAAACAAAAGAAAUACUGUCUCUAUUUCUAAAAUUUGAAUUUAACUUUUAAGUGAAAAGGCUUAAAUUGCUCAAGGGGACGAUAAGACCCUAUAAAGCUUUAUAAAUAACUAGGGAUUUUUUGGGUUAUAAAGAUAAAAAAGAAUGCUAGAAGUUUAUUAUGUUGGGGCGACACGGAUAUAGAUUAAAGCAACUAUCAGGAAAAAACACAAUAAUUUUUGAAUUUUAUGAUCCUAAUUAAAGAUUAUAAGACUAAGUUACUUUAGGGAUAACAGCGUAAUUCUUUUUGAGAGUUCAUAUCGAAAAAAGAGUUUGCGACCUCGAUGUUGAAUCAUAAAAUCUUUAUAGUGCAGCAGUUAUAAAAG